rnacentral:rRNA from 1 species
UGCCAGCAGCCGCGGUAAUACGGAGGGUGCGAGCGUUGUUCGGAAUCACUGGGCGUAAAGGGCGCGCAGGCGGCUUGAUAAGUCAGAUGUGAAAGCCCACGGCUUAACCGUGGAAGUGCAUUUGAAACUGUCAGGCUUGAGUAUCAGAGGGGAAAGUGGAAUUCCCGGUGUAGAGGUGAAAUUCGUAGAUAUCGGGAGGAAUACCGGUGGCGAAGGCGACUUUCUGGCUGAAUACUGACGCUGAGGCGCGAAAGCGUGGGGAGCAAACAGGAUUAGAUA